UACGUAGGGUGCAAGCGUUAAUCGGAAUUACUGGGCGUAAAGCGUGCGCAGGCGGUUUUGUAAGUCUGUCGUGAAAUCCCCGGGCUCAACCUGAGAAUUGCGAUGGAGACUGCAAGGCUAGAAUCUGGCAGAGGGGGGUAGAAUUCCACGUGUAGCAGUGAAAUGCGUAGAGAUGUGGAGGAACACCGAUGGCGAAGGCAGCCCCCUGGGUCAAGAUUGACGCUCAUGCACGAAAGCGUGGGGAGCAAACAGG
rnacentral:rRNA from 1 species